rnacentral:rRNA from 1 species
UGACGGUACCCUACUAGAAAGGAGCCGCUAACUUCGUGCCAGAAGCGUCGGUAAUACGGGGGCUCCAAGCGUUAUCCGGUGUUAUUGGGCGUAAAGAGUCGUGUAGGUGGUUGGGUAAGUUAUCUUUCAAAUAUCUUUGCUUAACAAAGAGGAGGGGGAUAAUACUGCUCGACUAGAAUUUUCUCAAGGGAGAUCGGAACUGAGGGAGGAGUAGUGAAAUGCGUUGAUACCCUCGGGAACACCAGUGGCGUAGGCGGAUCUCUGGGAGAAGAUUGACACUGAGACACGAAAGCUAGGGGAGCGAAGCAGAUUAGAGACCUGCGUAGUCCUAGCCGUAAACGCAUGCUUGCUAGCUGCAUGAAUCUACCUUCGGGUGGUAUCGUGUGGCGAAGGUAACCCGUUAAGCAAGCCGCCUGGAAAGUACGGCCGCAAGGCUGAAAUUCAAAGGAAUUGGCGGGGAGGCACACAACCAGUGGAACAUGUGGUUUAAUUCGAGACUAACCGAAGAACCUCACCAGGGUUUGACAUGUAGCUGCACGUCUUAAGAAAUUAAGACUCUCUUGAAGGUGCUACACAGGUGCUGCAUGGCUGUCGUCAGCUCGUUCCGUGAGGAGUGCCCUUAAGUGGGACAACGAGCGCAACCCCUAUUACAUGUUAGAAAUGUCAUGUAAGACUGCCUUGCCAUUUGGCGGGGAGGAAGGAGGGGCAGACGUCAAGUCCGCAUGGUCCUUAUGCCCUGGGCUACACACAUGUUACAAUGAGUACGGCAAUGAGUCUGUCGCGAGCACGUAAGUGUAAGCUAAUCUCUUAAAUGUACUCUCAGUGGGGAUUGAGGUCUGCAACUCGACCUCAUGAACACGGAAUUGGUAGUAAUCGCGGGUCAGCUAUACCGCGGUGAUACGCUCUUGCCUCUUGCACACACCGCCCGUCAAACCAGCAAAGUCGAUUGUAUCCGAACCU